rnacentral:lncRNA from 1 species
AAAGUGGUAAAAUUAUCAACUAAUGGGACAAAGUGAAUAAACAAUUGAAAAAUGAAAGUGAAUAAACAGAUGAAAAUUAACUAUGCUUGAUUUGUAAAUAUUUGGAAUAAGAUCUAAGGUAAUGGUUUCCCCCAUUGUUGAUUUCCUUGGUUAUAUUUUUUUUAUAGCUGUGACUUAGUUGCCUCUAUCAAUCAUGAACUCUCUAGCUACCAUAAAUCUCUUUCAAGCAAUUAUGACAAUUUACUAGACACACUCUCUCAAGUUACGGUAGCUAGGUUCACAUUACAGUUCACUUAGAUUGCACCCGAUGUAUCGUUAUCUCUAAUGCAACCUCUAAACCCUCGGCUAUGGCUCUCGUCUAUACUCCGGGAGUGAUGUUGUUCAAACAACUACCUAAAUAUGCACCCUCUCUCAAGCAUACACAUAAUAAAAUAUGAACGGCUAAUUAAGUAUCCUUUCAAUUAACCACAAUCAAAACGUACUUGAACAAAUAGAGAUUAACA